rnacentral:rRNA from 1 species
CAGCAGCCGCGGGAAUACGAGGGGGGCAAGCGUUGUUCGGUAUUAUUGGGCGUAAAGGGUGCGUAGGCGGCCCCGCAAGUCUCAUGUGAAAUCUUCAGGCUCAACUUGAAGUCUGCAUGGGAAACUGCGGGGCUGGAGUAUGGGAGAGGUGAGUGGAAUUCCUGGUGUAGCGGUGAAAUGCGUAGAUAUCAGGAGGAACACCUGUGGCGAAAGCGGCUCACUGGACCAUAACUGACGCUGAGGCACGAAAGCUAGGGGAGCAAACAGGAUUAGAUACCCCCGUAGUCCCUGUCUCUUAUAC